AGCAUUAUUUACUUUAAAAAUAUCUUAUUUAUAAAGUCAACGUACAAGUCUGUUUUUUAUAUCACAUAUCCAUUAAACAAUAAUGACAAACUAGUUUUAUCGAGAUUAAAAGGAAUGAAAGUUAAACGAAGUAUUGUAUAUACAUAAAAUAUAUGUACAUACGAUGGUUACUUUCACAAUAUUAAAUUGCUAUUUUCUUUUGAUUAAUAUAAAUCGAAUCUUUAUAAUGGCGAAUGUCGAAGUGUAAUAAACAUAGCGAAACGUAAACAAAAGUGCUAAUGGAUGAUCUCAUUACGUAUUAAUACUCCUUGAUAGAUCAAUCUAUUAAAGAGAGUAUACACGUAGGACAUUGUAAGCACGUUUGGAAUAUAAUGGUACGUAAUACUUGAAUACGGCACAGUGAGUGUAGAAUCGUAUAAUGGCAACUAUGUCGAGUAAUUUAGCUAACGCUUUUUUCCCUCUAGAACUAAUUUUAAAAUUCUUUGCACUCGGAAAUUUCGAAAAUCUUCCCGGAAAACUAAACACAUAUUUCAGUAACUUGUAUGUAAUAAUUAUCUGGCUUAUUUACUUCAGCAUUUCCAUUUAUUUGCAGAAUCACAACUUCAUUUGUCAAGACAUAAUAGGUUUUAUAAUGUUUAAUACUAAAUUAUUUACUAUGAUGAUAACAGUGAUCGGUUCGCAAUAUUAUAAGCAAAGAUGGAAACGAUGCUUGGACAAAAUUACUAUGAUAAACGAUACACUGGAAAGACUUCAUAUUCCAAAUAAAUAUCAAAGUUUACAUAAUAGAAUAAAGCGUAAUAUUCUCAUAUGGAUAUUAGUUUCUGUCAGUAUAAAUAUAACAGAGUUAUCAUGGUACAAGGAUAGCUUAAAAGAGAUGAAACCAUAUUUAUUCUUAUUUGUAAUAAAUCAUUGUUCAGUUGCUAAUAACUUGAUGGACCUGAAAUAUGAAUCUGUUAUUUGGUAUACGGCGUCGAUCUUUGAAAAAAUUAACAAGUAUAUUUUACAUUUAACCACGAACAAAAAUUCAGAAGCAACACGGAUAAGCACAGCUUUCAAAAGAUCAAAUUACCAACGUUUCAUCGAUACUCCUCACCAUAAACAAAGUCUAUUAACAAUAAUGCACGUACACCUGGAACUUUCAAAAACAUGUUAUGAAUUCCACGAAACGUUCCAAAUACAACUAACCACUGACAUGAUGACUCAAUUUAUAUACGUACUGGGAUUUGUACAGGCACAGCAUACAUAUUUUUCAUUCAAAUUAUCGUAUAUAUUUGAUUUUAUACCCGUAGUAUUGUCGAUAGCUAUAUCAUUCUUUAAAGUGAUAUUUCUAAAUAACACCAUCGAAAAAUGUUGCACAAAGAUAAAACAUACGGAGCACGCGCUUCAUAUUUUGAGAGAUUUCACCUACGAUUCAGAAAGACAAGAAGAGAUUUUCCAAUUUAUUCUACAAAUUACACAAAAAUGACUAAGGCUUUCCGGGCUGGGUCUAUUUGAUUUUGGCCAUCACUUCGUUUACAAGUAUUUCGUGAUUAUGAUAGAUUGCAUUAUUAUCAUCGAGCAACUGAAUGAUU